CCGCCCGUUAGCUCAGUUGGUUGGUGUGUCGUGCUAAUAACGCGAAGGUCGGGUUCGAUCCUCACGGCAGG
rnacentral:tRNA from 1 species